rnacentral:rRNA from 1 species
CAGGCCUUGACAUCCAAUGAACUUUCCAGAGAUGGAUUGGUGCCUUCGGGAACAUUGAGACAGGUGCUGCAUGGCUGUCGUCAGCUCGUGUCGUGAGAUGUUGGGUUAAGUCCCGUAACGAGCGCAACCCUUGUCCUUAGUUACCAGCACGUUAUGGUGGGCACUCUAAGGAGACUGCCGGUGACAAACCGGAGGAAGGUGGGGAUGACGUCAAGUCGUCAUGGCCCUUACGGCCUGGGCUACACACGUGCUACAAUGGUCGGUACAGAGGGUUGCCAA